CGCGGGCACGUUAAACGGACCGAGGGCCACGCCCCGGCCACACGGUCCUCAGCGUCCGUGUCGGUUUACCACCUGAGCACAACUGUCGCUUUUGAAACGAAAAUUUACAACCAGUAGCACUGGAUCCCUUGGCACGUCAUUCGAUGAAGAACGUAGCAAUCUGCGAUAAGUGGUGUGAUAUGCAAGUCCACAGCUUAUACGUGAACCAUCGAAUCUUUGAACGCACUGCACUAUCCGGACGACACCCCCGUGAUAGUAUGCCCCAUUGAGCGUUAUUUGUUCGUUCGGACGUCACCUUUGCCGGUGGCGGACGAGUUCGAGGUUCACACCCUUCCCGGUGCGCUCCUUGAGAUGCAUUAAGGGGCCGUCAAACGGUCAAUCCCAUCCCGCACUGUGAUGAUUUUGCAGUUCGCGCGCCGCGGCGAUCGUCGUGCGGCCUCUGACAACCGCCGCGAGGCAAACCCGGUGCCGUCGGAGCUCCUCCGUCGCGCCCACCCUUCGUACAUAACCUCAGUGGGGUAGGACAACCCGCUAGACUUAAGCAUAUUAAUCAGCGGAGGAAAAGAAACUAACAAGGAUUCCCCCAGUAACUGCGAGUGAAGAGGGAACGGC
rnacentral:rRNA from 1 species